AGAUUGAACGCUGGCGGAAUGCUUUACACAUGCAAGUCGAACGGCAGCACGGGGGCAACCCUGGUGGCGAGUGGCGAACGGGUGAGUAAUACAUCGGAACGUGCCCAGUCGUGGGGGAUAACUACGCGAAAGCGUAGCUAAUACCGCAUACGAACUCUGGUUGAAAGCGGGGGAUCGCAAGACCUCGCGCGAUUGGAGCGGCCGAUGGCAGAUUAGGUAGUUGGUGGGGUAAAGGCUCACCAAGCCGACGAUCUGUAGCUGGUCUGAGAGGACGACCAGCCACACUGGGACUGAGACACGGCCCAGACUCCUACGGGAGGCAGCAGUGGGGGAAUUUUGGACAAGUGGGCGCAAGCCUGAUCCAGCCAUUCCGCGUGCAGGAUGAA
rnacentral:rRNA from 1 species